UUAGCGAAAUGAAGUAGUGAAGCUGCGGCCCCUUCCUGUCGAGAAAAGCCGCUAUCGUGUAGCAAGGGCCCGUACCGUAAACCGACACAGGUGGAUGAGGAGAGGAUCCUAAGGCCGGCGGGAGAAGUGUUGUUAAGGAACUCGGCAAAAUGACUCCGUAACUUCGGGGGAAGGAGUGCUGCGCAAGCAGCCGCAGAGAAAUGGCCCAAGCAACUGUUUAGCAAAAACACAGUUCUAUGCGAAACCGAAAGGUGAGGUAUAUGGGCUGACGCCUGCCCGGUGCUGGAAGGUUAAGGGGAGAGCUUAGCGCAAGCGAAGGUUUGAACUUAAGCCCCAGUAAACGGCGGCCGUAACAAUAACGGUCCUAAGGUAGCGAAAUUCCUUGUCGGGUAAGUUCCGACCCGCACGAAAGGCGUAAUGAUUUGGGCACUGUCUCAACAACACACCCGGUGAAAUUGAAAUACCAGUGAAGAUGCUGGUUACCCGCGCCAGGACGGAAAGACCCCAUGGGGCUUUACUCCAGCCUGAUACUGGGAUUCGGUAUUGCAUGUACAGGAUAGGUGGGAGGCUAAGAACUCAUGGCGCCAGCCGUGAGGGAGCCGAUGUUGGGAUACCACCCCUGCAGUACUGGGUUUCUAACCUGCGCCCGUGACCCGGGCGGGGGACAAUGUCAGGCGGGGAGUUUGACUGGGGCGGUCGCCUCCGAAAGGGUAUCGGAGGCGCUCAAAGGUCUCCUCAGGAUGGUUGGAAACCAUCCAGAGAGUGCAAAGGCAGAAGGAGGCUUGACUGCGACACCGACGGGUGGAGCAGGUACGAAAGUAGGACUUAGUGAUCCGGUGGCAUAAAGUGGGAUUGCCAUCGCUCAACGGAUAAAAGCUACCCUGGGAUAACAGGCUUAUCACUCCCAAGAGUUCACAUCGACGGAGUGGUUUGGCACCUCGAUGUCGGCUCAUCGCAUCCUGGAGCUGGAGCAGGUUCCAAGGGUUGGGCUGUUCGCCCAUUAAAGCGGUACGCGAGCUGGGUUCAGAACGUCGUGAGACAGUUCGGUCCCUAUCCGGCGCGGGCGCAGGAUAUCUGAGAGGAGCUGUCCUUAGUACGAGAGGACCGGGAUGGACCGUCCGCUGGUGGACCGGUUGUCAUGCCAAUGGCACGGCCGGGUAGCCAAGACGGGAAGGGAUAAACGCUGAAGGCAUCUAAGCGUGAAGCCCCCCUCAAGAUGAGAUAUCCAUACUCGAAAGAGUGAGAGACCCCUUAGAGACGAUGAGGUAGAUAGGGCAGAGAUGGAAGUGCAGCGAUGCAUGGAGUUGACUGUUACUAAUCGGUCGAAAGCUC
rnacentral:rRNA from 1 species